AGGUAUGGGACCAUUCUACUGGACUGUUAAUGUAUCAGUCAGGGAUAUUAACAGCUUUGGAUCUUCAGUUUAAGCAGUGAUCAUAGUUACCGUUGUGUGGCACAUACGGACUUAAAGAAAGAGCAAGAGAAAUUCUAUAAUAAAAUCUGGAAAUCUGAAGAAGAAUUAGGUGAAAGGCAAAAUGCUUCUGAGCUUUGCAAAACAAACAGCAUGAAACCAGAGGGGUCAGUGGAAGCAUCAUUGCCUGUUCUCCUAAUUGAACACUGUGACUAUUCAGUAUGUUUCCACAAUGAAGAAAAUAUGGAAAAGAGAUGUUCCAGCGGGCUGUAGGCUUUGCACAGUUUUAUUUUAUGGAUACAUUUAUAUUGCUGUGCUGUGGAGCUGAAUUUCAUCUAUGAAGUUUCCAUCUAGAUGCGGCGAAGGAUGACCUAAAACGAACAUUAUUUGUGAUUACUGAAGUCAGUGAUAAUCAUCUGAAAAUACAGAUGUCUUUGGAAAAUGUUAAAACGAUCAUCUGUGGAAUGGCAAACGUGUGAUGAGAAAUCCUUCUCCUCAAGGUACGCUUACUGGAGAUCAUGAAUGGGAAAACUCGUGGAUCCUGCCAUACACUGUUGUAGCUGACUUGUAGCUUCCUGCUCUGUAGAAAUUCAUCUUUCAUUCAUUGACCUGUGGGUUUGCCUGUUUUAAUGGCAAGAAAACGCUGAGAUUUAGUGCUUAUCAGAGAUAUUUAGUGUGUUAGAUUUCCAGUGGCAGGAGCCCAGGUCUCUGAGAGUGUGGGUUUGUGGAGUUUGCAGAGUCACAGUCUCAUUGCUAUUAAUGAGCUCCCUGGACUCUUUCAGGUACGAAUUCUUGCACUGUGUCAUUAAGUAGAAGGAAGAUGUUUUUUCAGGCAGUGAAGCUUUGAGGUCUCAUUUUAUUUUAUGUUUUUUGACUGCCAACAGCUAUACUUCAUUAUACGUGGAAAGCACAUUUGGCUGCUUCUUUUCUUCAAGGUUCUUGUUAGAAAUUACACCCAGCAGUUGCUUCCAAAAGCAUUUUUGACUCAGUGGAAUCUCCCUGGGCCUUCUGCUUCUUCACUGCAGUGACAAUAUGAUACCACGGGAGUGAUUUUUCAUGAAAUUACAUUUUCAUGACUUCGGUCAGGAAGGUUCAGUUCUGCAGUUCAUGUUAUAAAGUUACACCAUAUCUCAGAUUAAACUUUGUCACAUCAAUACUUUUUUUUAUAUAUACUUCUACUUUUUUUCAGACAGUUUAUUUCAGAGAUAGGGACAUCCUGAAUUUUUUCAUCACCGUGUGCUUUCACUUCACUAAAUUUUGGAAUACACACUUAUUACUUACCGUGUCUAAAAAACAUCAAUAAAAAAAGAGACUUUAAUGAUUUAACUUACCCAAAGAACUAACGUUAUAUUUAGUAGAGGCAGUGCGGAGUUCAAGUUGAUCAACAUGUCCGUGAAUUUAAUCUGCUUUUAAAAUUACACUGGUGCUGUUUUUAACAUGAAUUUUGUAUUUAGAUGGACUUACCACAUCCCAGCAAACAUGUUUCUAAGGUCAUAUAAAAAGGACACUGUCUAAUCUCUGAUUAUUGUCUUCAUUUAUAAUUGUUCACCCAGAAACAAUUUAAAAUCCAGUUCUAUUUAGAACGCCUCUUGUGACUGUGAUAACUGCCAGUGAUGUAGUGGCAUCUUUGCUUUUGCAGUCAUUUCUCUUGGACAGCUAACCUGAGAGAACAUUGAUUGUUUUAAUGAAUAACCAUUUUAAUAGAAUAAAAAAAAUAUUUUAAACUAUGAUGGCAAUUUGAACGGUAUGAAUAAUCUCUCUGAAGAAGUCAGUGCACUUGCAAUUGCUUUCAACCAUGUCUAGCUCUGUUGGGUAAAUUUUUUCUGAUAUAAUGACUUCAUUAUGUCAUUUUGUCCCUCUAUGAUCAGUAAUUAGCAACUGCUUUAAAAAAAAGUC